rnacentral:rRNA from 1 species
GACGAACGCUGGCGGCGUGCCUAAUACAUGCAAGUUGAGCGCUGAAGGUUGGUACUUGUACCGACUGGAUGAGCAGCGAACGGGUGAGUAACGCGUGGGGAAUCUGCCUUUGAGCGGGGGACAACAUUUGGAAACGAAUGCUAAUACCGCAUAAAAACUUUAAACACAAGUUUUAAGUUUGAAAGAUGCAAUUGCAUCACUCAAAGAUGAUCCCGCGUUGUAUUAGCUAGUUGGUGAGGUAAAGGCUCACCAAGGCGAUGAUACAUAGCCGACCUGAGAGGGUGAUCGGCCACAUUGGGACUGAGACACGGCCCAAACUCCUACGGGAGGCAGCAGUAGGGAAUCUUCGGCAAUGGACGAAAGUCUGACCGAGCAACGCCGCGUGAGUGAAGAAUGUUUUCGGAUCGUAAAACUCUGUUGGUAGAGAAGAACGUUGGUGAGAGUGGAAAGCUCAUCAAGUGACGGUAACUACCCAGAAAGGGACGGCUAACUACGUG